rnacentral:rRNA from 1 species
AGCGAACGUUUGCGGCGGGCUUAACACAUGCAAGUCGAACGGGCUGUUCCUUCGGGGGCAGUCAGUGGCGCACGGGUGCGUAACACGUAGGUAAUCAACCCUCUGGUUGGGGAUAACACUUCGAAAGGAGUGCUAAUACCCGGUAUGGCGCAGCGGUCUUCGGAUCGCGGUGAGAAAGACCCGCAAGGGUUGCCAGAGGACGAGCCUGCGGCCCAUCAGCUAGUUGGCGAGGUAACGGCUCACCAAGGCGAAGACGGGUAGCUGGUCUGAGAGGAUGAUCAGCCACACUGGAACUGAGACACGGUCCAGACUCCUACGGGAGGCAGCAGUGGGGAAUAUUGCGCAAUGGGCGAAAGCCUGACGCAGCCACGCCGCGUGAGCGAUGAAGGCCUUCGGGUCGUAAAGCUCUGUGGGGAGAGAAGAAUAAAGCCUGUGAAGAGCAGGCCUUGACGGUAUCUCCUUAGCAAGCACCGGCUAACUCCGUG